UCCUAGAAAUACCCUAGUUUUGUCUAACAUUUGACCGUCCGUCUUAUUUAAAAAAAAAUUAUGAUUAGUAUUUUUAUUAUUAUUAGAUGAUAAAAUAUGAAUAGUACUUUAUGUGUGAUUAAUUUUCUAAUAUAAUUUUCAAAUAAGACAGACGGUCAAAUUUUAAACGUGACAUUAAAUUUAUAACUGCACUUAAA
rfam:Oryza glumipatula chromosome 5, whole genome shotgun sequence.